UUUCCUAGUCAAAGUUGGCAGCUGCUGUAGUCAUUAUGCUGUUGUGGAUUUAUACAUGGUUUUGAUUUUUUACAGCCUGUAAUAGAAUACGUAAUUAGGAAAGUUAGUUAGGGUUUGAUUUCGGUUGACUACUAUAAAUAGUUGGCUUGUAAUAAUUCUGACUAAGACUUUCAUUAUUGCAAAGAUCGUUCAGAUAUUUUCUAAGCUUCUCUCUCUCACUUCUGGUGGUGGAGAAAAUGAUUGCAAACCAAACACGGGUCCCGAGUCCUAUGAAGGAAUCAAUAUGAAUAAAGCUGGGAAUGAAGACAACCAACAAGCCAUUGCUUUUCUGCAAAGUGAUUGCCUAAAUUACUGCCGCUUAUCUCAGCCUCUCUGCCUAACUCUAAAGUAAUAAUUGUUAACGAAAACAUGUGUAAUCCUUGCUUAAUUGUGCUUUGGGUGAGUGUCAAAUGGGAGCAUUGCAUAUAGUCAUUUCUCUUUUGGAUGGCAUCAUUGGUGUGGGUUGUUUCUGAGUAUAUUAUUAUGUAAGGAGCUUGAUUAUAGAUUGGAUGACUAAUUUAAGAAGGUUUUGAAGA